UACGUAGGGGGCAAGCGUUGUCCGGAUUUACUGGGCGUAAAGAGCGUGUAGGCGGCCAAGCAGGUCCGUUGUGAAAACUCGAGGCUUAACCUCGAGAUGUCAUCGGAAACCAUUUGGCUAGAGUCCGGAAGAGGAAAGUGGAAUUCCUGGUGUAGCGGUGAAAUGCGCAGAUAUCAGAAGAACACCAAUGGCGAAAGCAGCUUUCUGGGACGGUACUGACGCUGAGACGCGAAAGCGUGGGGAGCGAACAGG
rnacentral:rRNA from 1 species